GCCUGGCUGGCUCAGUUGGUAGAGCAUGUGACUUUUGAUCUCCGGGUUGUGAGUUCAAGCCCUAUGUUGGGUG
rnacentral:tRNA from 1 species